CCACUACGCACGGUCCCUACUGUUGAUUAUUUAUUAUUGAUUAAAAUAUAUUCAGCUUUUUGUACCAUAACAAUAUACCUAAUAAAAGAUUAGUAAGUUGAGUUGGGUGAGCUAAAUAAGUUAAGUAAGGUUGCGGUCCACAAUAAACCUAACGGUAAAAGACCCAAUAAUAGAUCUAAUGUUCAGAUGAAUUGAGUCAGAUUGAAAUUCGUAAGCGCUAUACUUGAGCCCUUAAGUGUGAUGUGUGUGUUCUUUCUAUCACAUGUGUUUUUGGAAUUGUGGUUAUAUCCACAUGUGGUAUCAAAGCCGGUGGCACGAGGGUGAGACAUCUUUGUUAUAAGUAAAGCUGUCCAAAAUAUUNAUCUAUUUGAGCGGGUCUGAAUAGUGACUACCCGUAUACUACCCGUUCAAGACCGGAUAUGGAUCGGGUCUAGAUCGGGUACGGAUAUCCGUAUAAAUAUAUUUUUUUUAUAAAUUUUAUUAAAUAGUCAAUAGACAAACUAUAUUGUUGACAAUGAAAUAUUGUUGGCGGAAAUAAAAUAAAAAAAAAAGAGUAAAAAACAAAGAGUAAAAAAAUUAGAAAAAAAGUAAUGAGUAAAAGAGGCAGCUAGGGUUUCAUUAUGAUGAAAAUAUAUAGCGACUCAUCAUCUAUAAGUCAUAUUAAAAUUGAUCCUUCAACUUCAAAAGUUUUUUUUUUUAUUUACUAUCAGAUAUUUCAUCGGGUUCGAGUCCAGGUCUGGAUUUGAAAACUAUUCCGGACCCUACCCGUUUAAAAGUUAGGUUCGGGUCCGGUCUAAAUCGGAUAGGGGUAUAAAAUAUCCGGACCCAUACCCGAAACUUUAAUGGGUAAUUUGUUUUAUCCGUAUACUAUUCAUUUUUUAUCGGGUCCGGUUUGGGUCCGGUUCGGGUCUGGGUAGGGUCCGGAUCGGGUAUGGGAUAUCGGAUAUUUUGG
rnacentral:lncRNA from 1 species